GGCCUUUUGAGAAUAAUUUUAGGUCUAACCUGCCCACUGAGGUUUUAAAUGGCCGCGGUAAUUUGACCGUGCUAAGGUAGCAUAAUCAUUAGUUUUUUAAUUGAAAGCUGGUAUGAAUGGUUGAAUAAGAAAAUAACUGUCUCUAUUUAAUUUGAUUGAAUUUUAUUUUUAAGUAAAAAAGCUUAAAUUUAGUUAAAAGACGAGAAGACCCUUUAGAGUUUUAUAUAAAAUAAAUUUUAAUAUUUUAGUAAUUUAAAGUUAAAGUAGAUUUUAUAAUUAGUUGGGGUGAUUGAAAAAUUAAUAAAACUUUUUUUUUUAUAGGCCAUUGAUGUAUGAGUUUUUGAUCCAUAAAUAUUGAUUAUAAGAUUAAAUUACCUAAGGGAUAACAGCGUAAUUUUUUUUGAGAGUUCAAAUCGAUAAAAAAGAUUGCGACCUCGAUGUUGGAUUAAAAUUAAUUUUUGGUGUAGGGGCUAGAAAAUUAGGUCUGUUCGACCUUUAAAAUUU
rnacentral:rRNA from 1 species